UAUCGGUAAUCAUCCUGUAUGAAACAGGCAUUUGUUAACGAUACGAGAUAACCAGCUACUCCAACCGGCCAUGAAUUUAUCCGACACUUUUUCCAUUGAAGACCUAUUCUAUCGGUCUCAAUCCCUCUUGUAACUAACCGACAGUUGACGUAUGUUAGUUAAGUUACGUGUUUUCGUGCUUCUGAGCAUCCCCAGGCUGCCUGUCACGUGUUACGUAUUGUAUGUGAAUAUAGUCUUCUGUUUAUCAUUGCUGGCUAGAUGUUUGAAAGUCUUGCUUCUCUCAAUACGGACACCUGGGCAAGUUCAUCCCAAGCCUACGUAAGUGCUCCUAUAUAUAAAUUCACACCGAGCUCACACGUAUUACCAGCUGGAUGACGAGAGUGUACUUGCCCUCGAAUACCAGGCAAAUCCGUACCAAAUCGACACACACGAGAUGUCUGGAAGGUGGCAUAAUGGGUGCAGGGGUAUAACAGAUAUUCUUUCUAAUCAGCCGAUUUCGGACACUGCAAGGUUCCCUGGCUUACCGUUUGGUAUUCAUGUCUGGGAUCCGCCGAAACGAGUUCUGCAUUUCCAGGAGGCAUAACAUGCGCUGCGAUACAAACUAACAUAUUCUACACUUUCGGCGCAUAAUCUUAUAUGGUCCGACAUCCAGGAACACGAGGAUUUGAAUGUUGCCCGGUCUCUGUUUCUUUGCCCUUGAGAGAUAACAUGUCGCCACCUUUACGGACAUUUAUGCGAGACCCAGCGCCUAAGUUCUUGCUCAAGUGGUAAUAAUAGCCGAUAUACAAGAGAUAGCUCAUGUGCUGAGGAGAUGGGAUUUGGUCAAUGUUUAUACCGUCCUGACCGUGGAGAUACAGGAGGUCGGGCUAUCUGAUCACAACCUCAUCCCACUCAGACAACAGAGGUAAAAAGCGGUGCUCGUCGACUGCAGUUUGAAAAGACAGGAUUCCAUGGAAGCUCCGAUGAAUCGCACUGACUGGCUAGGCUUACUGCCAUCCUUGUCAACAACGCCCCCUCCCGUCGCAGAUACUAGUUUAUCAUUAUCUAAGUACCAAAUGGGACAUCAACUAAAGCCUCAUUAUCUCACAUCCUGAUUGUCCCCUAGAAAUAACUGAUAAUAACUGAUGGUUAAUCCGGAAGCUGGCUCGAUCUUCUCUUGCUGUUAGGGAAAGGCUGUCUAAGGCUGAUCAUCUGGCCUUUUCUCUAGCCGUUCCACUACAUGGUUACAUGCAUUUCUAAAUUGCCCAUAAUCAUGAGGUACAUGCCUGCUUGGGUGGAAAUUCGGCGUUGUCUCGAUCCCACCCAACAGAUCCUGUAUUUUCGCCAACUUCUUUUUGACCCGGAAACACUUUCUGAUGCCUGUCCUGGAUAGAAAAAAACCAAAAAAAAGGUCGAGGAUGAUAAACGAAGAGAUCAAUCUCACAGCGGUGUGAUCCUUCGUUUCCUGGAAAAGCUCCACGUCCUUAUAUGGUUCCCCAUAGCUCGAGAGAAACGAGUUCCAGGUAUGUUUCCUUUCUUUCAAACACCCAUUUGUCACAAUAUACCGCUACUUGUGCACUCAUACCUUUUCGCACUUAAAGCAUGAACUUUGGUUGUGUUUGGAUCAGUUCCUCGGUGUAGAAGGUCUCGUCGAAGGAUAUCAUCAAAGAAGAGACAAUUCUUCGAGGAAAAUCCCUCCUUGUGUAGUUGAUGAAUCGAGGGAUUCUCCCUGCAAGUCAAAGUAAAUUUCUAUAGAUGUACACUAUAAGUAUUAAAGCUCUUAGAAGUAGGAU
rnacentral:lncRNA from 1 species